GGGGAUGUGGCUCAGUUGGUAGAGUGCCUUGCCUUGGGAGCACAAGGCCCUGGGUUCAAUCCUCAGCACCACCA
rnacentral:tRNA from 1 species